GUUCCCGUGGCUAAGUGGUCUAGCUCCUCGAUAUUGUAAAUCUUCAUCGAGGAAUUAUCGAGGCGGCGUGGGUUUGAAUCCCACCGGGAACG